rnacentral:ncRNA from 1 species
CUGUGCACAACUGACGGAUAGCGGAAGACCGCUGUGGAGCUUACCACAUGAAGUGCACAUAGAAACUGUCGACCGUCUGGGCAAUCCU